AUUUUUCUUGACAAGUCGCCUCUGUUCAUGCUUAUUUUCUUUAAUGGAGUGUUGUUAGUUAUCUCAUUUUAGGUAAAUAUCCUCUAGCAGGUUUCAGCCAGAACAAAUAUUUACAGUUAAACCCUCAACUCCAGAAAAUGGCUUUGUGUGUAUGCUGGAGGAGGGGUAGGGAUUAAAUGGAAAGGCUGACUUUGUCUUGGCUUUUAGACAAGCCACCACAAUAAAUCACUCCAAGACACUCCAACGGAUGUGUGUUGGAGGAAUGCUCACCUCCAGGAAGCUAAGGCAUAGGGUUAAGAGGCUUCGCGGGCUGAUCCCACGUAACUAAUGGGCACAUGUUUCACAGACAGAAGGGCCAAGCCUUAGUCAUCGUGAAUUGCUCCAAAACAGCAAAGAGAACAAGAAACAAAAACACAGGCCCUGUAUUCUUCAAGGGCAGGAGACAUCUGUAAUCUGGAACCACAAUAUAUAUGGAGAUGAGAAACAGAUGGAGGAAUGGGAAAACAAGAGGAUGGCUGGUCGGAUGGGAAACCAGCUGGAAGCUCACCACAUAAUCAGGUAAGUCUCCUUAGCAUGCCAGGCUGAGCCUUUUUCCCUGCAGGUGGGUGUGCUCUGACUUCUGUAACUACUUUCUGCCCCCCAGAUCAUACCUGCCUUCA
rnacentral:lncRNA from 1 species